rnacentral:rRNA from 1 species
GAGAUGUGUAUAAGAGACAGAGGUUAAGCAGAAGAUGCGGAGCCGCAGCGAAAGCGAGUCUGAAUAGGGCGCAUGAGUACGUGGUCGUAGACCCGAA